rnacentral:rRNA from 1 species
GUAGGUGGCAAGCGUUGUCCGGGAAUUAUUGGGGCGUAAAGCGCGCGCAGGCGGUUCUUUAAGUCUGAUGUGAAAGCCCACGGGCUCAACCGUGGAGGGUCAUUGGAAACUGGAGAACUUGAGUACAGAAGAGGAAAGCGGAAUUCCACGUGUAGCGGUGAAAUGCGUAGAGAUGUGGAGGAACACCAGUGGCGAAGGCGGCUUUCUGGUCUGUAACUGACGCUGAGGCGCGAAAGCGUGGGGAGCAAACAGGAUUAGAUACCCUGGUAGUCCACGCCGUAAACGAUGAGUGCUAAGUGUUAGAGGGUUUCCGCCCCUUAGUGCUGCAGCUAACGCAUUAAGCACUCCGCCUGGGGAGUACGGCCGCAAAGGCUG